UCUCACUUUCGUCAAGUGCAAAAUGGGAAUAUCUAUAUUUGGAAGAAUCCUUGUGACGAUUAAAUGAGACUGUGAAUCUCAACUACUGAGCACAUUGCCUAGCAAAGUAAACUCUUGAAAAGUUAGUUGUCAUCACCACUACUAGACUGGGUUUGGCCUCCAGACGGCGCUUGAUGAAGCACUAACACAGUCAAGGAACAAGGCUUCCCCAGGUGACCCCCAAUCAACUAAUUCCCAUAGGCGCCAUUCUCCCCACUUCUCGCCCUUUCAAGCCCCUCUGAGGGUUAGGCACUGGACCACCCCAGAUUUCCAGAAGUCCCUCUCAGCUCCCUCCAGCUGUCCGACUCCUUGGAGCCAAGCGGGAUCGACACAAAUGCCCUUGCUGGCACAAACACCUCCUAAAGCUCCCCACAGGUCCGCUUCGGGGCCACGGUGGCCAGUGACACCCCCCCCCCCCCCCCCCCCCCCNNNNNNNNNNNNNNNNNNNNNNNNNNNNNNNNNNNNNNNNNNNNNNNNNNNNNNNNNNNNNNNNNNNNNNNNNNNNNNNNNNNNNNNNNNNNNNNNNNNCCCCCGACCCCACCCCUCCCCCGCCGUGGCCUCUCAUCGAGACGAGGCCCGGCGCGGCCAGGCCCGGCCUCAGUCCUCGGCCACCAGCGCCUUCCCAAGAUCCCUCCGACCCCACCCGCCCCGCGCUCGCCGGUUCGAACGAAGCCCUCUCAGCAUUUACACGUCUCCCCGCCCGCCUGGCCCGAGAACUCGGCCGCGACCCCGUCCCCAGCGGCCAUACCGUUUUCCCGAGGCCGCCACUGCUGCCCCUCCGCGGGUCUCCGCUGAUCCGACCCCGUGCGAGGCCGCCACCGUCGAGCUCUGGGGCGUUGGGGGAAGGCUGCGGUCACAGCCCACUCGGUUGCCCUCCGGGGCCGCCGCACCUCGCUGGCAGACUCGCGCGGGCCCCGACCAAUCGCACUGACCCACCAAGCCUAGCGAGAGCUCAGGCCCAGUACGUGGCAGGUGGGGAACGAAGAGGGGCGGGAAUAAGAAGAAAAUCUGUCCUUUCGCUCCGCCUCGGAGCGAGCGUACCGACCCAGGACGCAUGCGCAACGUCGAUAGGGCGGGGACUAAACACGCCGGGGUCUGCAGGGGUCUGAGUCUCUGCUUUCUCACUGGAUGACUGGAUAAGUGUAGGAAGUGCACGCAGAACGGAUGCACGCAUGCGCGGGGCGUGACCAAGCACUUCCGGUUUUCCUGAACAGUAGUAUUUCCCGUUUCUCGCCCGUGGGCGGGACGUAAUUUAGUCUUCUGAACUCUGAGAUCCAAGAGUAGGCGUUUGUCUAAGUUUGUGUUUUUUUUGUUGUUUUGUAGCCAUUGUAGUUCUCCUAGUCCUAUCUCGAAAAGACUAACCUUUUCCCCGCCUUCCUUCUACGAACUCAUUCAUUCAUUAUUGGGCGCCUACGCUUUGUCAGGCACUGUGCGGGGAAUGGGAAUGAAUCAGUUUGUGAACAAGGAGUUCCCAACAGCGUUUACGAGACAGGACAGAUUUUAUGGGUGUGUAAAAGGUGAAGGCUAGGAAAUUAAAACGGAUUAAGGAUCCCAGAGACAUUUUGGAAAUAAGAUAUUUGAGCGUUACAUACUCCUUUCAUUUAUCUAAAGCAUUUGUUUUCAAUAUGCGUGUUUAUAUAAGAAGUAUGCUGGCUUUAGACUGAAGCCUGAAAUUUGGGAGGAGAGGGGAAUACGUGAUGAAAUCGGCAUGGGGAGGGGAGUGCUGUUUUAAAAGUUGCUGGAAACUUUUGCUAAGAUAAAGAGCAAAAAUCAAUUUGAACUUACUUGGUCCUCGGUUGUUCCUCAGAUAGGUAAAAUGAAUUUAAGGUGAGAAGUUAUGUACUUUUAGUAAAGAGUGACAUUUUUGCAGUUGUAAGUAUGAAAAAUUAUGUUUCACAGUGAAAUAUGUGAUUUUAGAAUUCUUUGCCUCAGAAAUUUAUUUUCCAACAUUCUAUGUAUUAUUCUUUGAGCAAUUGCUUGGCAGCAUUUGGAGAGCAAAAGACUGUAGUAAGAAUGAAAAAAGUUCCAGAUUUUCUCCAAAGACUUGUUCUUCAUUGCUUGUAAUUUAGAACUGAAUGAUGCAGAUUUGGGGAAACUAACUUUUGUUGGUAAUACUAUUCUGAUGUCUUUGAGAUGGUUUGAGAUUGGAUUAAACCACACAAAUACAGAUGGAGAUAAAAUUCUGGCAAGCAGUGAAUAACACCACUGUCAAUAUCCCUAAAGAAAACUCAGAGCCUGGGGCAGAGGAUGAACCUUAGCCUGGCAUGAAGGAAAGCAUUUCCUCUCUCUAGGCUCCUGGGCAAAGGGCUUGCCAUUGAGAAGAAAUAAAUUGAUCCCUGCUACACUGGGGACAAAGACUGUAGUAAGGGUCAACACCAAAAUCAGAUUGAUUAUAUUCUUUGCAGCCAAAGAUGG
ensembl:lncRNA